UGAGAAGUAUGCUUUCAGCUGCAACAAUUUUUACAUCAAAGAUCCAUCCUGCCAUCAGAGAAGAAGAUUCUGUACAUAGUUAUUCAUGCCCUCUUAAAUAUUUUGAUGGCCUUGCUACUUCCUGACAUCAAACAAGGUGGUAUAUACCAGUUCUAAGCUGCCACUGGCAACCAGGUCCUGAGGAAUUCUUACUGCCUCUUUGGAACAGUCAAAGAGUCGAUUGUAAAGUUCAUGAUCACUAUUGCUGCCUAAUGUCAUAAUGAGGUAAGUGCUGUGUGCUGCUACUGGAGAUACUUUCGAAACCUGGAAUGGUAUUUGAAACCUGAAACUAUGUUGAUUUGGGUAAUGAAUGGUUUGACCAGCAAUCAUGAUGGAUUCCAUUGUUUCUAUUACUGAAGGUGAUGGAGACCAUGAUCAUAAGGAUGAUCUCUGCUGCUGUUUAAGAACUUGUGGGUAAUAUCCUUGCUGCUGCAAGAAGAUAUUUGAUGUAAUUGAUCCCUCCUGCCACCAGAGAAAAGAUUUAUGUCCAUAAUUGAAUCUUUUCAAUAUCAGUGAUACACUUGUCAGCAGAUACCAUACUAUAUCUACAGUUCUUACCCCCAAUAGCAAACAUCAUAUUAGAGAUUUGUGCUGCCACUUUGGACCAUGAUGAUAUCAGUGAUUCCCAA